GGACAGACUGCCAACGGCCAUUUGAAACUGUCAUGUCCGUCGUGUCGCCGUCUCUCUUACCCACAAAACCCGCCAAAAACGGCAACCGUUUCAGCUUAGCCCCUCCCCAACCUUGCCUCUUUCUAUUAGAAAUAUGCAAGUAUACCUCCGAGUUCAAGCAAGUCCAAGCCAAGCUCACCAAGCUCGGCCUAAUUAGCCACCCACUAGCCCUCACCAGGCUCUUGUGCUAUUCCUCAAUCUCUCGCUAUGCUGACAUUCACUAUGCUCAAUCAAUCUUUAAUCUUGACAAAAACCCAAAUACAUUUGCAUAUAAUGUGCUGAUUAGAGGCUAUGCUCGGAGUGAAAAGCCCGAAAUGGCCAUUUCUUUGUUUUAUAGUAUGCUUUGUAAUGUCAAUUCUGUGCCAAAUCAAUUUACUUUUCCUUUUGUUUUGAAAUCAUGUUCUCAAGUUAAAGCCAUUCAGGAGGGUAAACAGGUUCAUGGGCUGGUUGUCAAACACGGUUUGAGCCAAGAUCUUUUUGUACAAAACAGUUUGAUCACCUUCUACGCGGCUUGUGGGGUAAUUGGUUCUGCUUGCAAAGUGUUUGAUAAAAUAGAUGGCCCGGAUGUUGUUUCAUGGAAUUCGGUAAUUGGGGGUUUGGUGGACUCAGGUUUUGUUGAGGAGGCAAGGUGGACGUUUGAUAGAAUGCCAGAGAGGAGUUUGGUUACUUGGAAUUGUUUGAUUGAUGGGUAUAUUAAGAUAGGGCUGCUUAAGGAGGCUAGAAAAUUGUUUGAUCAAAUGGAAGGGAGGGAUUCGGUUUCUUGGAAUACUAUGAUUGGUGGGUAUGUUGGCUCUGGUCUAAUGGGAGAUGCUGAAGUAUUGUUCGGUGAGAUGCCACUAGAGAUCAAGGAUUUGAUCACUUUUAACUUGAUGAUUGAUGGGUAUGCAAGAGAUCGUAGAUACAGCGAGGUACUGGAGGUACUUGAAGAUGUGAAGGAGGCAAAAGCAAAAAUGAAUGAGUUUACAAUAGUAAGCGUGCUUACUGCUUGUUCCCAUUUGGCGGAAUUGGAUCAAGGUGAAUGGAUUCAAACUUACAUAAAGGAAAAUCGGAUUGAAGUGGAUGCUGUCCUGGGAACUGCUUUGGUUAAUAUGUUUGCAAAAUGUGGAAACAUGGGGAGGGCUCUUUCUGUGUUUGAAAGUAUGGAGGAGAGGAAUGUUGAGGCAUGGAAUUCAAUAAUUCACAAUCUUGGUGUUCAUGGUUAUGGCGAAGAAGCAUUAGCAAUGUUUUCAGACAUGUUGAGGACCAAUAUUCCACCAGAUGAAAUAACGUUUCUUUGUUUAUUAAGUGCAUGUCGCCAUUCCGGGCUUGUUGCUGAAGGGAAAAAAUAUUUUCAACUAAUGAGCGAAAAAUAUGGCCUGGCACCAAAGAUCGAGCACUAUGGUUGCAUGGUAGACCUUCUCUGCCGUGCAGAUCUUUUGGAAGAAGCAAGAUGCUUGAUUGAAACUUCGCAGAUGAUGUCCAGUGUUCCCAUGUGGGGUGCUCUUCUGGGAGCCUCAUACAGGCUUGGGAAUCUGGUGAUGGGAGAAUAUGCUGCAAAACAUCUCAUAGAAUUGAACCCCUUUGAUGGGAGCUGUUACAUAGUUCUAUCCAACAUGUACUCGGCCGCUGGCUUUUAUGAGAAAUCCAUAGAGGUUAGGAAAAUGAUGAGGGACCAAGGACUAGAUAAAGUCCCCGGCACCAGUUCUAUAGAAAUAGACGGCGUAGUUCACGAAUUUAGAGUCAGCUCCAAUUGUCCUGAAAUAAGUUAGUUGUGUACUUGGACCUUCUGCAUAGACCCUGGUCAGGCUUUAUCAUAUUUGACAAAACCAAAUUACAUGUUUUGCCAAAAUGAGUAGCCAAAGAAAAUGUAAAAAUGAAAUUUACAUAAGGGAAUAUAUAUGUAACGACCCAAUCUAUGGGCCGGAUCGGCAAUAAGACUUGGGUCAGCUUAAAGCCCCCGAGACCCGUAGUAA
rnacentral:misc_RNA from 1 species